rnacentral:rRNA from 1 species
AUGUCCAUCGUCAAGCGUGCUUUGGGCUUCGGCGGUGGCUACGGCCAGAGCAAGCCCGUGAUAAGCUACCACACCCAGAACUCCGACUCCGUGACCACCGUCAUGACGGAGAUCAGCCACAUGAGCCUCAACGAGAAGCAGGCGGGGUACAACGGCGCCGUGCAGAAGACGGCCUCCCUCACGGAGCUGUGCUCUGAGGAUGCCGAGGUGCAGAAGCACGGCUACGGGCAGCAGGCGUACGGGGGCGACGUCGGAGGGUUCGACGCUCUCUUCCGCGACAACGCCGCGCAGAAGCACGGCGAGCAGAAGGCGUCGUCGUACCAGCAUGAGAGCGGCGCCGGAGGGUACAGCGCUCACCACCACGAAAGCUCCGUGCAGAAGCACGACGCCUAUGGCGGGCAGAAAGCGUCGUCGUACCAGCAUGGAGGCUACGAUGCUGUCAGCCACGACAGCACCGGCGCCACGCAGAAGCAUGGCUACGGUGAGCAGAAAGCUUAUGGAGCUGAAGCCCACCGCGACAGCUCGGCGCAGAAGCACGGCUACGGCGAGCAGAAGGCGUACGGUGGUCACCACCAGGACGGCAAGGUCCAGAAGAGCGGCUAUGGCGGCGAGCAUACGGCGUACCACCAGGACAGCAAGGUCCAGAAGCAUGGCUACGGCGAGAAGGCGCACGGCUACGGCGAGCAGAAGGCUUACGACAGCAAGGUCCAGAAGCACGGCUACGGCGAGCAGACGGCGUACGACAGCAAGGUCCAGAAGCACGGCUACGGCGAGCAGACGGCGUACGACAGCAAGGUCCAGAAGCACGGCUACGGCGAGCACAAGGCGUACGACAGCGCGGUCCAGAACCAGAAGCACGGCUACGGCGAGCAUGGGAGCGCCACCGCCGCCCUCCAGCACGACAGCUACGGCGGCGCGAAGAAGCACGGCUACGGCGGCGAGCAGAAGGCGUACAAGCACGGCGCUGCAGCGGGAGGGUACGACGCCGUCCACCACAACAGCUCAGUGCAGAACUACGGCUACGGCGAGCAGAAGGCGUCGUACCAGCACGGGAGCGACGCCGGAGGGUACGGCGGUGUCCACCACGGCUACGGUGGUGGGCAGAAGGCUUACGGGCACGGCGCUGAUGCCGGAGGGUACGACGCUGCUUUCCAGUACGGCGGCCCGAAGCAGACGAAGCACGGCUACGGCGGCGGGCAGAUGGCCGGAGGGUACGACUCUGCUUUCCAGCACGGCGGCUAUGGCGGGCAGAAGGCGUCGUACCAGCAAGGGUGCGACGGCGGCAUCGCCGGGUACGACGCGCUCGUCCAGAAGAAGCAGGGGAGCUACGUCGGCGGGCACAAUGCGUACCCGCAGCAAGGGUGCGCCGGCGGCGACGUCGCAGGGUAUGAUGCUCUUGUCCGACUCCGGCAGAUGCAGAAGCAGCAGCAGUACAACCAGGCCGGAUGCGAGAGCGACGAAGAGAGCGAGGAGGAUAGCGACUGCGAAGAGGAGGUGCUGGGCGGCGGAUACGGCAUGCAUAAAUACGCCGCCGGCAGCACCAUGCCCGGCGGCACGCAGUACUACUCCGCGUACGAGCGCCGCCAGCAGCUCGGCGGCGGGAGCCAGUACGAGGCGUACGAGAGCUCCACCACCCAGGGGUACUCCGGCGGCGGCUACGGCGGCGGGUGGGCGCAGCCCAAGAAGCACAGCUACUACUGA